rnacentral:rRNA from 1 species
AUGGCAAAAUUCUAGUGGGGGAGUUCCAUUGACAGGAGAUCACUCCAUUGGAUUGCAUGGGACAAGCUUGCAACACCAAAGUUUAAUGGCGGAAUGGGCUUUCGUGAUCUUCAGAUCUUUAACUUAGCAUUACUAGGGAAGCAUGGAUGGCGCUUCAUGACAAAUCCAGAUUCCUUAUGUGCCAGGGUUAUGAAAGGGAGAUAUUUCCCCGACACAGACUUCAUGCACGCCUUGGUACCGAACUCCUCGGCGACGUGGAGAGCAAUUGUGGCAGGCCGUGAAGCUUUGCAGACGGGACUGGUGAAGCGGGUUGGUAAUGGGUCCUCUAUCUCAGUUUGGGAGGAUAAGUGGAUCCCUUCUACGGUGACAAUGUCCCCGAUGCUAUGCCCAGCAGGUGCGACAGUCCAAACUGUUGAUGAGUUGAUCUACACUGAUAGUUAG